GCUCUGGCCACUCUCAGGGAGGACCUGACACGGCGACGGUACCUGAUGAGUGGGGUGAUGGCACCUGUGAAAAGGAGGAACGUCAUCCCCCAUGAUAUUGGGGACCCAGAUGAUGAACCAUGGCUCCGCGUCAAUGCAUAUUUAAUCCAUGAUACUGCUGAUUGGAAGGACCUGAACCUGAAGUUUGUGCUGCAGGUUUAUCGGGACUAUUACCUCACGGGUGAUCAAAACUUCCUGAAGGACAUGUGGCCUGUGUGUCUAGUAAGGGAUGCACAUGCAGUGGCCAGUGUGCCAGGGGUAUGGUUGGUGUCUGGGAAGAGCCUAGCUGGUUGUUGCCUUUCCUCGGUACCUAGGUCUUCAACAUCUUGGUCCCUCUCUAGGCUGUGAUGGAAUCUGAAAUGAAGUUUGACAAGGACCAUGAUGGACUCAUUGAAAAUGGAGGCUAUGCAGACCAGACCUAUGAUGGAUGGGUGACCACAGGCCCCAGGUUAGCGGGUAGGGGUUUCCAGGAGGCCUGAGGUGAGAAACUGGGCAACAAGGGAUUGUAGGGCUCAAGAAAGAAUGACUCAUUGUCUAUUACACGGCAUGGGAGCAGCUGGAGCUGCCAGUCUGACCCCCAAACCCAUGUCCCUGAUCAGUGCUUACU
rnacentral:lncRNA from 1 species